rnacentral:rRNA from 1 species
UGGGGAAUAUUGCACAAUGGGGGAAACCCUGAUGCAGCGACGCCGCGUGAACGAAGAAGGUAUUCGUAUCGUAAAGUUCUGUCCUAUGGGAAGAUAAUGACAGUACCAUAGAAGAAAGCUCCGGCUAAAUACGUGCCAGCAGCCGCGGUAAUACGUAGGUGGCAAGCGUUGUCCGGAUUUAUUGGGCGUAAAGCGAGCGCAGGCGGUCAAUUAAGUCUGAUGUGAAAGCCCCCGGCUCAACCGGGGAGGGUCAUUGGAAACUGGUUGACUUGAGUGCAGAAGAGGAGAGUGGAAUUCCAUGUGUAGCGGUGAAAUGCGUAGAUAUAUGGAGGAACACCAGUGGCGAAGGCGACUCUCUGGUCUGUAACUGACGCUGAGGCUCGAAAGCGUGGGUAGCAAACAGG